rnacentral:rRNA from 1 species
UACGUAGGUGGCAAGCGUUGUCCGGAUUUACUGGGCGUAAAGAGCGCGCAGGCGGUCGUUCAAGUCGCGUGUGAAAGCCCCCGGCUCAACUGGGGAGGGUCACGCGAUACUGAUCGACUCGAAGGCAGGAGAGGGAAGUGGAAUUCCCGGUGUAGUGGUGAAAUGCGUAGAUAUCGGGAGGAACACCAGUGGCGAAGGCGGCUCACUGGUCCGGUUCUGACGCUGAGGCGCGAAAGCGUGGGGAGCAAACAGG